CCAGCAUCUUUAUGGAUCCAGCCGUUCCUGUGUUUCUGGAGGAGGCAUCUCACUCCAUAUUCUUCAGAGGAGCCAGAAAAUGCGUAGGAAGUUGUUCUACCUCACCCACCUAGAGAAAGUCCAGGCUUUUCCAAGCUGCUGUGCUGCAGGAAGGAAACGUCCUGUUUUGGUCAACGCGUGACUUGCGGCAGCGCCCCAAGAACUUGCUGAGAGCGAGAGAACUUUUCUAGUGAUUUGGCACCUGCUCGUUUGGACCUGAUGACUUUUUUUCUGGGUAGCUUCAGCAAACCUGGAUCACUGUAAUAAAAUGCUCACCAUGGAGAAAUGGUGCUGUAAA
rnacentral:lncRNA from 1 species